CGUUAUUUUAUUGUCAAUAGUUUCUCAAGGAGUUUGGAAACCAGAGGUCUUCAAAUGAGGAAAGAUGGACAGACAGCUCUCAUAGUCAUGUGUACAGUAGAGAUUAAAAAGAAAAGCCUGACACGAGCCAUGUCACAAGUGGAUACCUACUGACUUGGUUUUAGACAUCAGUUUUAAUACAAGGAGAGACCGUUCAUGUCUUUCUCCCAUCUACUAUAGAAAUGCUCCUGUUCGUGUUUAUAAGGCAUGUUUCCUAAAGAAUGUGUUUAAAAGUAGUGCAGAAACAAACUCCCACUAAAGUGCUGCCUUGUCUUCUGUUUUUUCCCCCAGUUGUUGGAUAAUCUUGCAAAGCGUCUCCUUUAGAUACAGGGCCUCAGCUUUGUAUUGAUUUUUUUUUAAACAAUAAAAGCUGUCAAACAGGAAUUCUAAACAUUUUAAAGGAUUAUAAAAAGAUAGGCCUGAAAUCUCGCAUGUUUUAAAGCACAGUACAAAGUAGCCUUUUUACGUGGAGGAGCCACUUGCAAUUGGUUUCUUAAAUUUUUUUUAUUGAAAUAAGCUGACAUAAAUUGUACAUAUUUACAGCAGUAAAUUCCAUUUCAGCAGCUUUGUAGUUCCAAACAGAGCUGAUGGCAUCUGACACCAGCCUUUCCAAUGCGCCAUCUGCCUUUCAUUUGCUGCAACAGGGUAAAAUCUUGUAUACCAAAGCAAACGAUAGCAUGUUUUCUAGCAAAGCCACACUGUUAACAAAAAGGCCGAGUGAAGGACAGCCCCGUGACUGUGGGGAGCUGUGAGUCCUGAAAUUGAGAGCACAAGCAUUUCUUGUGUCCAUACCUGAUAGCAUGUCAUUUGAUUUUGUAUCUUACAAUUGCUUGAUGGAUGACUCAGAAUAGAAAGAAGGCCAUGAAGGGACAGAGGGGAGGGACUCAGAGGCCAUUGAACAAUUCCUCAUUCACAAAUUCACCGUUUACAGGGAGGUCUGCCUUUUAUUUGUAUUGAUCACCGUCCAUAGGCUUCAUGGAUUUUGUCCACAGAUAGCUUUUGAGAUAAUGAAGGCAAAUGUCACUUGCUUCUGUUUUGUUUUGUUUUAGCACGUAAAAAAAUAAAUUAAUGAAAUGAAAUAUUCUAAUUGACUCCCAAACAGAAAGGGACAAAUAAGCUUACUGUAUGAAAUUUGAUUUCAAAUGUAAAAAGCGACAGAAGGCCACAAAUCCAGUUAGACAGCGAUUUCAGUCAGAAAAUGCAGCAUAUAUUGAUACAAAAUAGAAAUCUUGAGUUAUAAAAGUAAGGAGUCCAUCUUUUCCUUUCUUGGCAUCUCUUUAAGCCUGUGCCAUUUCAUUACAACAAACAUUUCUACAGGUUUUCAGAAAUACUGUUCCUUGCCAUUGAGUUUCUUUAGUGGUCUGAUACAUACACAGAAAGUAUUACCAGCUCGUGUUAGAAAGAAAAGGCCAUGCCAAAGAGUAGAAGAUCAUUAAAUAUUUGUGUUUUUUUUUGCAAUGCAAGAAGUAUGCCUUCUGAAAACCAGAGAGGAAUUCUUUCGUUUACAAGAACCGGUGUAAUGCCAAGCAGGAUAACGAGUUUGCUAAAUUACAUUUGGCAAGAGGGUAGAUUGCAAAAUUGAUUAGUGGAGACUGAAAAACACAAGGGGGAAAAAAAAGAAAGAAAGAAAAACCAAACAAACCGCUUGAUGUCCUCUGACACAAUUUGGUGAGCUUAGCUUAACAGAGUCUGCGAAGUAACAGAAGGUGUGUGUUUCUUCCUGCGUGGAUGUGGCACCUGCUUUGGAAGCCACAGGCCAUCGAACGCAGGGUGCUGUGAAUUAAAGUAGCAGACGCUGGUUUGGUGGGUUUGGGUGAGUUUUGGAUUCAGUCGAGUUUUCAGUGAAGUAAUUGCCAAUGAGGUGUUUGAAUCACUGCCGGCAGCGGUCAUUUUGAACCCUUUAAUGGGACUUGAGUUCCCAGCUCCCCUCUCUCCCACCCUCACCCCGCACAACUGUGGCAAGCUUUUGCUACAGAUUCAGAUUCUGCCCCUUUGUUAAAUUCAGAUUUUUUUCUUUUUCAGAGAUGAUAGGCAGCCAGGAGAGGUUUUGUUUGUUUGUUUGUUUUGUAUGUUUUGUUUCUUCCUUUUGAGUAAGUCAUCUUCCGUCUAUAUACUUUUCUCUCAAACAGUUUGCUUUUGUUUAUCCAGCACUAUAGACUCCCCCUUCCCUCCCUUAACCUUCUGAAUGAUAUACCAGCAUCACAUCUGCAUCACAGUGGCACAAAAUGCUACCUGGUGGUGGAAACCAAAAGCUUAUUUUAAAAAGUUAAAGCAUAUUUUUGGACCCUGCAAGCGUGUAAACCAUGGGGAAUUUUCAAAAACCUCAGGCAGUCUUGACCUUUUAAAAGUGUCACGUGGUAGCUUUUAUCAAGAGAAUUAUUGGCUUAUUUUAAAAUAUGGGACUGAGCAACAGUGAAUAAAUACACAUGUAUAAAAUCAUAAAUAUUCCUUCCUUUAGAAAAAUAGUGGGUGUUCUGAAUAUAAAAGGUCACUUGGAUACAUAAUUCUCACUACAGUGAUUAGAAUGGUCCAGGGACUCGCCUAAAAAUAUCUCAAGGACACUACUGAAAAACACAUUUCAAGCUUUCUCCAGUGAAUAUUUUUUUAAAAAGAUAAAGAAGUCAGAUAUUAAUGUGUUGCUAAAAAAAUGAGGGAGGUCAAACACACUUCAGUUCGAUGUAUUGAGGAAAAUGUACGUAGAAAAACACACUACCUAGUAAAUCCGUGGUGUCUGGUUGUCUUUGGGGGGUUACAUUGGCAAAGUCUAUUCUUUUUCUUUUUCUGUUUUUAGGAAAACAUGUAACAGCACAGCAGGAAUGCCAUCCAUCCCAAGGGUCACAAGAAGGUUGUUCCUAUUACCUGCUUUUCAAUGAACUGAGUAGCAGUGGUGAACAUUAAGAACUGUCUAUCCUUCCUAGCCCGUGCCAAGUCUUCUAUUAACAUCUUAGAAGAAGUGGUACUUGCUGUGCAAAUAUCCUCUGGGACUGUUCUCUUAAGACUGCACAUUGGAGUGUUCCAUUGACAAUCCAAUGCUGUUUCAACUUCCAAUGCCCCACAGAACAUACAUUCAAAAGACUUUUAAUAAGGCAGGCAUGGAUUAGAAGGGGUAGAAAUGAAACUAUGGGAGAAAAAUGCUCCCUUUCCCCAUAGAGGAAAAGCAGAAGUAAUUAGGAUGGACAAUUCAGUUCUGCUAGAGCUCGUGUAGAGUGGAGGUAUUAUAAAGAGUAGGUCUGCUCACUCACAGUCAGUGGGGAAAAAAAUAUCCCAGUGUCUACUCCGUAUGGGGUCAGAUAGAGCUCGACUGUAAGUAUAAUCUUAUUUUUAAAUUUAUUUAGAGAUUGUAUGCAUGGGGUCCUACAAAAGACUUAGAAACUAGGGUGUUUACUCUUAAGAACUAUUUUGUUUUUGAGGCCAAAUAUUUACAAGAGUACUGGAAACACACAGACUAUCCCAUCACAGUGGACAGAGUUGUUUCCAGAAGUGAUGGGUGCCAGCAGGGGAGGGAAUGAAGAUGGGUACUCAGAUGGAUAUUUUGAGUGCUGCUGGCUUGCAACUUAUCAUCGAGGUGGAAUCCUGACCAUAAGAUGUAAAGUUUGAAGGGCAGCAAUAAAAAGCAUUUGGUGAUGGUGCCUGGCUGUCGGAGUGAAGGCUAAUAAAGGGCUAUGGGUCAGUCUUGAAGGAGCCAAUUAAAGAGAGCAAUGAAAAGCUUAGUGCACAGGAGAGAUGAAGCCUGCUUAGGCACAAGAUGUGGCUCACAAGGGAUAAAUCAUAUUUUCUGGGACUGAAUACAAGCUCCAUCAGUGGACCUAUUGGUACUUCCCAUAUCCUCUGGGUUGCUGAGAUCCCAUAAUUAAAGUGGUCACUUAAUUUGUCACUCCAAUGGGUGUCCCAGGCACACUGGGAUGUACGGUCUUCUAAGAAUGAUGGUGUGAACCUAAAGAGUGGAGCAGAGCUGGAGCUGCUACUGCGAGGGCUUUUCUUCCUCACUUCCCUUGCACAGUGAAAGGCUUUUAUGUGGGGAGUGAGGAGUGGGGAGAGCGGAUAGAAAUAAACUGAACAGUGUCUGGUGGCCACAGGAUCUUACUCUUGGCUGUAAGAGCUGACUUCAUCCAAGUUUUUGCACUUCCUUGAACUACUCCACCAGCCUGUAUUAUUGAUGUCAGAGGGAUUCAAUAUAGAUCAUGUGGGAGAGGUAGAAACUUUGUCUUUGGAGGCAAGAAAAACUGGCAAUGAAUACCCACUUCACCAGUAACCAUCAGAUCUGGGUAAGUUACUUAAGCUAUUCGGGUUUCUGUGUCCCGACACUGGUGUUAUUGAAUAACUCCAUAGGGCUGGAGUGUAGAGUGACGUGCUAUGGUAUAGUGGGAGAGUAUUUUCCCUUAGUCUAAUAUGACAGAGUUAUUAUUGGAUAGCUACCCAAAGCCAUUCUUAGUUUCAUUUUAAAUUAAUUUAUCAAUCAAUUAUGUUGUGUAGCACUGGGUACUUGUAAGCCUGUUAUGAUAACCAUACUCUUCAGUAAAUGGUUGAGGAAUGAUGCCUGACUCAACCUCAGUCAACAGGACAAGGAUGGCUUCUGGGGCUGGUUGAGGAAAGAGUUCCUUGCCUUUAAAAAAUAAUCCAGGACUUGCCCUGUUUCUGAAUAUCUUGGAUGGUUUGUGCAACCUUGUUGCAGAUGUACUGAGUGCUGAUAAUAUUCAGAGAAUCAGACAAGAGUCUUGGGUCUUAUAUUCUUGAAAUAAGCACGCUAGACUAGGCACUUCUAAUCUUGUUAUAUGAGCUUAGAAUGUUUUGAUUGCGUAAGAUCCUCUGAGAGUCAUCUUUUGUUACCUGUAGCUGAAUGGGUCUCAGUAGAUAGACCUACAUUAGUAAAUACUAACUUCACCUCGGUUACGACUUAAACACUUCCUCCCUCUAAAAAUGAUAUUGUGAGGUGUGACUCCGUCUAAAGGUUAAAAACAUCAUGGGGAAGCAGAAAAGAAAGCAACCACGUCAUUGCUUGAAGAGGAGCAGGAGUCCAUCAACACAUGGGGAGGUUGGGAGAAUCAUCUUUGAAGGUUGCCUAAGGCUGGGAGCAGAGCUAAUUUUGCAAAAGAGAAGGUGUUCUAUUCAUAGGAUGAAAUACAGCCGAAAAAUGGCAUUUCUGUGCGUUAUCCUAACAAUUAUUUUUAAAAAAUUCAAUAUAAUAAAUAAAAUCUUUCAAUAUAUAGAAGAAACACACAUGAACACAAUUAAUGCCAUAUAUGACAGAUCCACAGACAUAGGCAAUUGGAUGGGAAAAGAUUAUCCUAACAAUUUUCAACAGUUAGAAGGCUCCCAGGAGAAUCAUAAACACUCAGUAAAAGUUAAGGAUACUUGCAGAAAUUACUUUGGUUGUCAUGUGCGCUGGCUGGAGAACAACUGCGAGGCCAAUCACCACUUAAUUAACUUUUUGCUAUGGCUGUAUCUAAAAUAUCAGACCAAUUUGAUUGUUCAAGUAGUGUAGCAGGAGACAAGAGGACAAGGACAGGAAGGCUGUGUAACAGCUUUUAAGAACUCAGAGUCUCUUUCAUCUAGAUGGGUAGUUGCAUCUGGCGUGAAAGCUCAAAUACAUUUGCUCAUGUCAUUUAGAGACAUAGAGAGAUGUGAGGUUUAAAACUGGAUAUGUCUGGAAUGAAUUUGGGCUCAGACACUGCCUAGAAGAUGGCCUUCCAUCCACGAGGGAGGGUCGUACGGCUUUUUCUUGGCUAAGUUACAGAGGAUGGUUUAACAACAUCUAAAAUUCCCAAGAUGUAAAAUUGGAGACCAUAUCACAUGGGUGAAUGAUGUGUGAGAGUCCCUUACAGAUACUUCUCUAAGAUGGGAGAUGGAAGAUUGUGACAUAGGAUAUUUUAAAAGCAGAGGUUUGGAAGAAAUAUGACUACUACUCAGUUCACUUGACACCAUGUGGCUAAUCUUAAAGGCAUGAGACUAAGGCUAUUAUUAGAUUUGUGAGGCUGCAUGAACAAGGUCUAUGGUGAACCCGCAUCAUAUGGUUAAACUCCAGAGUAGAUGAGCCUCUCUAAAAUAACCUUUGAAACUUGGUUCUGAAAGAGAACUUGAAGUCAUCAGUGGGCAUGACAAGAGUCACAGUCCUGGGUAGACACAUACCCCCAUCCUCAUUCCAAGGUGUCUUUCAUCUUAUCUCCUGGCUCUAUUCACCACAUGCUGUUACUCUUUCAAUAUUAUAGGGCAUGUUGUUUGCUGUAUGUUUAGAGAACUCUGUCUAUACAUAUCAUAUAUCUCUAAGUCUAUAGAGAUGCUUUAUGGAGGAAAUGCAUCUUACAGAAUUCUCUGGUGAUAAUUUGGACAGCGCAUAAUGGUUUUUGCAAUUGCUAACUUUGUAGAAUCUGCUAGAAGGUUGAGAUGGGGGGAGUAAACAAGGUAAAAUAUAUGAAGUGUAAGUCUAGCAUGAUGUACAGAAAUGAUGAAAUAGGUCCAAUUCCUAAAUGAUUAUCUAUAACCACUGUUGUACAACUUGAGUGAUAAGAGAUUCUGGGAAGAAUAAUAGGAAAAAUUUAAAUGCCAUAUAGUUAAGACUAGGGGAGCCUAUGCAUAGAAAAACAUAAAUUUAUCAUGCUACCAUGAUGUCUUGAAACUUUAAGUUCUGGUAUAGAUAAUGUAAUCAACCAUAGGUCUAAGUGCAUUAUUUUAAUUUCUUCUGUGUUUUGAAAUAUGUUUGGAGAGAGAAGACUUUUGUAAAUGUGUGUACUCUUUACAUAAAGAACCGAAAGAAAAAUAAUUCAAGGGCAUUCAGAGGUGGUUAAAAAGUCUUGCCUCUGAAGACCUUUUAAAGGUACCAUGAGUAGGAAUUGGGAAGAAUUGUUACAAUUCAUUGUUCAUGAGUUAAAUGAAGAAAUACAAUGUAAGUCCAAAGAUUGAAGCUGCCGUCUAAGUAUGAGCAAGAUAGCAUAUAAGCUUCAGAAAUGAAAUGAAGAAUAAAUAGAGGAAUAGAAUUGUUUCCAUUGGGUGUGUGUUUUGU
rnacentral:lncRNA from 1 species